UUAAGCGACUAAGCGUACACGGUGGAUGCCCUGGCAGUCAGAGGCGAUGAAGGACGUGCUAAUCUGCGAAAAGCGUCGGUAAGGUGAUAUGAACCGUUAUAGCCGGCGAUGUCCGAAUGGGGAAACCCAGUGCAAUUCGUUGCACUAUCGUUAACUGAAUACAUAGGUUAACGAGGCGAACCGGGGGAACUGAAACAUCUAAGUACCCCGAGGAAAAGAAAUCAACCGAGAUUCCCCCAGUAGCGGCGAGCGAACGGGGAGCAGCCCAGAGUCUGAAUCAGCUUGUGUGUUAGUGGAACGGUCUGGAAAGUCCGACGGUACAGGGUGAUAGUCCCGUACACCAAAAUGCACAGGUUGUGAACUCGAAGAGUAGGGCGGGACACGUGGUAUCCUGUCUGAAUAUGGGGGGACCAUCCUCCAAGGCUAAAUACUCCUGACUGACCGAUAGUGAACCAGUACCGUGAGGGAAAGGCGAAAAGAACCCCGGCGAGGGGAGUGAAAAAGAACCUGAAACCGUGUACGUACAAGCAGUGGGAGCACCUUCGGGUGUGACUGCGUACCUUUUGUAUAAUGGGUCAGCGACUUAUAUUCUGUAGCAAGGUUAACCGUAUAGGGGAGCCGCAGGGAAACCGAGUCUUAACUGGGCGUUAAGUUGCAGGGUAUAGACCCGAAACCCGGUGAUCUAGCCAUGGGCAGGUUGAAGGUUGGGUAACACUAACUGGAGGACCGAACCGACUAAUGUUGAAAAAUUAGCGGAUGACUUGUGGCUGGGGGUGAAAGGCCAAUCAAACCGGGAGAUAGCUGGUUCUCCCCGAAAGCUAUUUAGGUAGCGCCUCGUGAACUCAUCUUCGGGGGUAGAGCACUGUUUCGGCUAGGGGGUCAUCCCGACUUACCAACCCGAUGCAAACUACGAAUACCGAAGAAUGUUAUCACGGGAGACACACGGCGGGUGCUAACGUCCGUCGUGAAGAGGGAAACAACCCAGACCGCCAGCUAAGGUCCCAAAGUCAUGGUUAAGUGGGAAACGAUGUGGGAAGGCACAGACAGCCAGGAUGUUGGCUUAGAAGCAGCCAUCAUUUAAAGAAAGCGUAAUAGCUCACUGGUCGAGUCGGCCUGCGCGGAAGAUGUAACGGGGCUAAACCAUGCACCGAAGCUGCGGCAGCGACACUAUGUGUUGUUGGGUAGGGGAGCGUUCUGUAAGCCUGCGAAGGUGUGCUGUGAGGGAUGCUGGAGGUAUCAGAAGUGCGAAUGCUGACAUAAGUAACGAUAAAGCGGGUGAAAAGCCCGCUCGCCGGAAGACCAAGGGUUCCUGUCCAACGUUAAUCGGGGCAGGGUGAGUCGACCCCUAAGGCGAGGCCGAAAGGCGUAGUCGAUGGGAAACAGGUUAAUAUUCCUGUACUUGGUGUUACUGCGAAGGGGGGACGGAGAAGGCUAUGUUAGCCGGGCGACGGUUGUCCCGGUUUAAGCAUGUAGGCUGGUUGUCCAGGCAAAUCCGGAUAAUCAAGGCUGAGGUGUGAUGACGAGGCACUACGGUGCUGAAGUAACAAAUGCCCUGCUUCCAGGAAAAGCCUCUAAGCAUCAGGUAACAUUAAAUCGUACCCCAAACCGACACAGGUGGUCAGGUAGAGAAUACCAAGGCGCUUGAGAGAACUCGGGUGAAGGAACUAGGCAAAAUGGUGCCGUAACUUCGGGAGAAGGCACGCUGGUGUGUAGGUGAAGUCCCUGCGGAUGGAGCUGAGACCAGUCGAAGAUACCAGCUGGCUGCAACUGUUUAUUAAAAACACAGCACUGUGCAAACACGAAAGUGGACGUAUACGGUGUGACGCCUGCCCGGUGCCGGAAGGUUAAUUGAUGGGGUUAUCCGUAAGGAGAAGCUCUUGAUCGAAGCCCCGGUAAACGGCGGCCGUAACUAUAACGGUCCUAAGGUAGCGAAAUUCCUUGUCGGGUAAGUUCCGACCUGCACGAAUGGCGUAAUGAUGGCCAGGCUGUCUCCACCCGAGACUCAGUGAAAUUGAACUCGCUGUGAAGAUGCAGUGUACCCGCGGCAAGACGGAAAGACCCCGUGAACCUUUACUAUAGCUUGACACUGAACAUUGAGCCUUGAUGUGUAGGAUAGGUGGGAGGCUUUGAAGCGUGGACGCCAGUCUGCGUGGAGCCAACCUUGAAAUACCACCCUUUAAUGUUUGAUGUUCUAACGUUGGCCCCUUACCGGGGUUGCGGACAGUGUCUGGUGGGUAGUUUGACUGGGGCGGUCUCCUCCUAAAGCGUAACGGAGGAGCACGAAGGUUAGCUAAUCCUGGUCGGACAUCAGGAGGUUAGUGCAAUGGCAUAAGCUAGCUUGACUGCGAGCGUGACGGCGCGAGCAGGUGCGAAAGCAGGUCAUAGUGAUCCGGUGGUUCUGAAUGGAAGGGCCAUCGCUCAACGGAUAAAAGGUACUCCGGGGAUAACAGGCUGAUACCGCCCAAGAGUUCAUAUCGACGGCGGUGUUUGGCACCUCGAUGUCGGCUCAUCACAUCCUGGGGCUGAAGUAGGUCCCAAGGGUAUGGCUGUUCGCCAUUUAAAGUGGUACGCGAGCUGGGUUUAGAACGUCGUGAGACAGUUCGGUCCCUAUCUGCCGUGGGCGCUGGAGAAUUGAGGGGGGCUGCUCCUAGUACGAGAGGACCGGAGUGGACGCAUCACUGGUGUUCGGGUUGUCAUGCCAAUGGCACUGCCCGGUAGCUAAAUGCGGAAGAGAUAAGUGCUGAAAGCAUCUAAGCACGAAACUUGCCCCGAGAUGAGUUCUCCCUGAGACUUUAAGUCUCCUGAAGGAACGUUAAAGACGAUGACGUUGAUAGGCCGGGUGUGUAAGCGCAGCGAUGCGUUGAACUAACCGGUACUAAUGAACCGUGAGGCUUAACCUU
rnacentral:rRNA from 1 species